rnacentral:lncRNA from 1 species
CCAUGUGGUAUUAUAUAAACUAGUACUUGGCACGAGCAAUGCACAUCCUUCAUUUAAAAGGGAAACAUUACGUGAAGCGCUGUGAUACUGUGAGAUACGGGCUGAAGUCGGCAGCGCCAGCCGACUUCAGCCCCAUUCUUCUUUUGGGAAGAGCCGGAGCAGAGGAUCGCGAUGGCGAUCCUCUCCGGUUCCUCCGGGGACAAACGGGGCAAGGGCGCCGCGGGUAUCCCGCGGCACCCCCCCUCCGGUCAAUCCGGGGCCAACCGCGGCCGCGGAUUUC